GACGAACGCUGGCGGCAGGCUUAACACAUGCAAGUCGAGCGCCCCGCAAGGGGAGCGGCAGACGGGUGAGUAACGCGUGGGAACGUACCCUUUGCUACGGAAUAGCUCCGGGAAACUGGAAUUAAUACCGUAUGUGCCCUACGGGGGAAAGAUUUAUCGGCAAAGGAUCGGCCCGCGUUGGAUUAGCUAGUUGGUGGGGUAAUGGCCUACCAAGGCGACGAUCCAUAGCUGGUCUGAGAGGAUGAUCAGCCACAUUGGGACUGAGACACGGCCCAAACUCCUACGGGAGGCAGCAGUGGGGAAUAUUGGACAAUGGGCGCAAGCCUGAUCCAGCCAUGCCGCGUGAGUGAUGAAGGCCUUAGGGUUGUAAGGCUCUUUCACCGGAGAAGAUAAUGACGGUAUCCGGAGAAGAAGCCCCGGCUAACUUCGUGCCAGCCGCCGCGGUAA
rnacentral:rRNA from 1 species